ensembl:lncRNA
AUGGGCAUGUCCAUAGCCAUCCUGGUGGUGAGAACCGGCCGGGCGGCCGCCCCGGCAGGACAUGUGCCCGCACACUUCAGCAGCUCAGAGCUCGCUCUGUCCCCUCCACCACGCCCUGUGGGGCAACCCUGGGUUGUGACAUCUCUGAGAACAUGUUUUGGACUCGCUGACAGGCGAGAGGAAGGCAGCGUGCCGGUGUCUCAAUCCUUCCAUGAGCUGCUUUUGAAGACGGAAGAUAAGACGGCAGAGAGAUGGUCAGAGCGCCUUUGGGAGAGGAAGGAGGUGGCCCCCCAGCUCCAGUCUCCUUAACUGCACCCUGGGAAGUCUGCACACUGCCUUUCUUUCUCCCCUCCUGGUGGUCUAAUCUGGAGUCAGAUCCAGCCGCUGGCUCUCGCAGAUGGGGAAGGACUGCCAGCCAACGGGAAAACAACAGGUGAGCCUCCAAACAGUCCCCUUCUGUGCCUUGGGCAGGGUGUCUGCCUGGGCGACCGCAGGGCCCCGCUGACUUCUAGAACCUUCUGUCUCUGCAGGUGUUUUAGGAACUUGGCCUCAGCGCUUCAGUGACCCAUAUUUUAUUACCUUUCAGGUUUCUAUAAUUCAUCAUUCAGCCCCUUCUGAAAACCUAGAAUGAGAGUUUAGCAGCUCAGAGCCCCAGCCUCUCUCCAUUCUCUCCCCAAACACAUCAGCUUGUUUGUUCCCUUUCAUCCGGGCUCUUCCUGUCGCAUUCUGCCCGUUCAAUGGGGAAAGAGUGAAACCGGAUGGCUNNNNNNNNNNNNNNNNNNNNNNNNNNNNNNNNNACCUUUGUUUCCCUCAUUCCUUUGAGCACACUUGGCCCCUGCGUCUCUAUGAAAGGGCUUGUUUGAACCAUUUGGAACAUCUCGCGAGCGGGAGAUGCUGUGGCCAGAAUCGCUCACAUCUUUUCAGGCUGCCUGAGACUGGGUGAAACUGCCAAAUUUUUGCAACAAAACUAACCAUGACAUUGGACAUUGUGUUAUAAAUUAGCCACAGCCUUCCAAGCAAAUUGUCUCUUUUCAUUGUGUCAGUGUAAGCCUUUGGAACGGUUGGCUCCAGCUACUGACUUCGGGGAGACUCAGAGAAUAUUUUUGUUCAGCCCCAAACCAGCCCUUCAGACACCAAGCUGCAUGGGCUAAUAUAUGUAUCUUAGUUGACAGCUCUUCUUACCACACUCACUCAGAAGACUCCUGUUGGUUAUAUUUCAUUUCUCUGCCUAAAAUUCGGUUAAUGGGCUUCUCAGUUUUGAUGUAGCAGGAACCAUCUCCGUUUGUCUUUGAAACAAAAAGAUGUACUUCUUUUUUCCUAGGCUUUUCACAAUGAUUAUUGGAAUUUUCUUUGAAGGAAGAGUUCUUUUCAGAACUCCAGUGAGAGUUAUUAAAAUGUGUUAUUACAUUGCUCUAGGUGACAUAUAGAAUUUCAGCAUUUGGUACUCACAGAAGCAAUGAAAAUUUCUAUUUCUUUAAAAUCACUCUGUGUUUUUUUAAAAAAGAAAACAUCUACCCAUCCACUUGAGUUCUGUCACCAACAGCCAGAUCAAGUGUUUGCUAUUAAAAGGAAAUCUGGAAAAAAAAAAAAAAAGCUCAAAUGCUAUCUCAUUUCUUUUCUUACUUUUCAUUUAACUUUUUUCCACAGAGAAGAGGGCAGGUGACACAUUUGGACUUAAAAAAUAAUUUUGUAGUAAAGUUCAUUAAAAUUGAGUUGAGAUGACAUUUAUCGGAAAUAGAAUAAACCUUCUUACAAUGUGUGCGAAACACACCCGUUCCAUUGAUGAUCCAUUUUUACUGGAGUAGAGCUGAUUUACACAUUGUGUGAGCUUCUGCUGUAUGGNNNNNNNNNNNNNNNNNNNNNNNNNNNNNNNNNNNNNNNNNNNNNNNNNNNNNNNNNNNNNNNNNNNNNNNNNNNNNNNNNNNNNNNNNNNNNNNNNNNAGAGCUGAUUUACACAUUGUGUGAGCUUCUGCUGUAUGGCACAGAGACUCAGCUAUAGAUCUACAAUGUUCUAACCGUACCGAGACCACGCACUGCUGCCUGCGCCCCUCCUUCCUGGAAGAGGGGACACUUGCGACCGUCACAGAGCGUUCAAGCAACAUCGUAUGUGUGGGCUUCCUGGUGGCUCAGUUGGUAAAGAAUCUGCCUGCAAUGCAGAAGACCAGGUCGGAUCCCUGGGUGGGGAAGAUCCCCUGGAGAAGGGAAUGGUUCCAGUAUUCUGGCCUGGGGAAUCCCAUGGACAGAGGAACCGGGCAGGCUACAGUCCAUAUGGCUGCAAAGAGUCAGACAUGAUUGAGCGGUUAACACAUGCACACACACACACACACACACACGACACACAUUAACAAUGUCAUCAGGUCAUAACAACUGGAUCAACUUGCACUCCCUUUUAAAACUGAACAAAAUGCCUAUUCUUUCUUAUUUUCCCAGUAGGAAUCUUUAUUUAAUCUGAACUGUUGCUAAGCGUGACUUAGAGUCUAUUGAGAUGAUCUCCAGCUGAGAGGUAUCCACACGUGUCCAGGGAUCUCUGUUCUACCAAGAAAACCUGCCAAGUGUCAGCCGCCUCCGCCCCCCUCCAUCCUCUCUCUCUGCUCCUCUCCUUGGUGCACCUGCCCCCCCAACUUCUGCAGCUUCUUCCCUGUCUCUUGUGUUCCGGGUGGAGCUCUGCCUGGACGGGAUGGGGAGGCUGAUAACAGGGCGAACAGAGAUGUGCUGGCCACAGCGUACAUGUCAACACCUCUUGGGUAAUGGAAGAUUUCCAGAGAAUUCUGCCCUUCUUAGGAGAAAGCAGCACUUUAAAAGUGAGCCCUGGUCUCAUUACAAGUCAAGCUCCAGCCAGUUUCAACAGCAUGUUUCAGCAAAGAUGACAUUUUACACUUAGCUAGCCUUUUUCAAGAAGGCACUCUCUCCAGGGAAGUCAGGGGGACUUUGCAGCCUGUCUGUGCUUACAGAGGGGGUGGGUGGUACCACACACACAUUGAGGCUUUAGGGCCCCAUCAUCUGCCACUGCAAAACUUUUAGCUUCUCUACCCAAAGCAAGGGUGGGAGGCAGGUUUAGGGGAACAGACAGGGGAUGUUUUAAGUUUCUACGCAAGAAAAAGGAAGCCUGCCACACGUAUCUCCUUGGGGUGAAAGGAGUCACUAACACACACACACACACACACACACACACACACUUUAGGCAAAGACAAGAGUGGUUGUUAUGGCAGAUGUAAGUUGCUCCCCAAGCAUGUCCUGAAUGUGGGAGGCCACAGCAGCUGGCUCCCCUGGAGCCAGCCCACAGGGCUCCUGCCAGGGGCUACAAUGGCCUGCUGGCCCUUGCCAGCUGCCACAUUCUGCAUGCCGCUGGAGGUCUGCUCCAGCAGAAGGGGCAUCCAAGUGACCAGCUUCAACAAGCACCAAGUCCUGUGCCCAUGCUAGGCCCGCACGGCCACCCAGAGCCCUCUCCUAGGGCUCAGGCGAGAGCACUUUUAUAUACGCUGACCAGCAGGCCCUACUGAUGGUGUCCCAGGACAGAGAAGGGAUCCCUCCUUCCUCAGGACAGAGGGCUGGGGAGGCUCAGGGCUCCAGCAGUCAUGUACAGAUGUGAGAGU